GCUCCCUGCAAGUGCGCUGUUGGAGAAGCGCAGCCAGGCAGACAGAGGAGAACUGAAGUUUGACCAGUUGUUACCCUCCAUGGCUAAACAAAUCGGUUUCAGUAAUGUACUGAUAUACAAGAAUGGACAUAAGGGGCUUCUUUCAAAGAAAAAACUCAGCACAAAGAGGGAGAGAGAGGAACAGAGAGAGAGGAAC